rnacentral:rRNA from 1 species
UACGUAGGGUGCAGGCGUUAAUCGGAAUUACUGGGCGUAAAGCGUGCGCAGGCGGUUUCUUAAGUCAGAUGUGAAAGCCCCGGGCUUAACCUGGGAACUGCGUUUGAAACUGGGAGACUUGAGUGUGGCAGAGGGGGGUGGAAUUCCACGUGUAGCAGUGAAAUGCGUAGAUAUGUGGAGGAACACCAGUGGCGAAGGCGGUACUCUGGGCCGGAACUGACGCUGAGGAGCGAAAGCGUGGGUAGCGAACAGG